GACAGAGGGUGCAAACGUUGUUCGGAAUUACUGGGCGUAAAGCGCGUGUAGGCGGCUUGGCAAGUCGGGUGUGAAAUCCCUCAGCUUAACUGAGGAAGUGCGCCCGAAACUGCUUUGCUUGAGUGCCGGAGAGGAUGGCGGAAUUCCCCAAGUAGAGGUGAAAUUCGUAGAUAUGGGGAGGAACACCGGUGGCGAAGGCGGCCAUCUGGACGGUAACUGACGCUGAGACGCGAAAGCGUGGGGAGCAAACAGG
rnacentral:rRNA from 1 species